rnacentral:rRNA from 1 species
GACGAACGCUGGCGGCGUGCUUAACACAUGCAAGUCGAACGAAGAGCGAUGGAAGCUUGCUUCUCUCAAUCUUAGUGGCGAACGGGUGAGUAACGCGUAAUCAACCUGCCCUUCAGAGGGGGACAACAGUUGGAAACGACUGCUAAUACCGCAUACGAUCUAACCUCGGCAUCGAGGAAAGAUGAAAGGUGGCCUCUAUGUAUAAGCUAUCACUGAAGGAGGGGAUUGCGUCUGAUUAGCUAGUUGGAGGGGUAACGGCCCACCAAGGCGAUGAUCAGUAGCCGGUCUGAGAGGAGGAACGGCCACAUUGGGACUGAGACACGGCCCAGACUCCUACGGGAGGCAGCAGUGGGGAAUCUUCCGCAAUGGACGAAAGUCUGACGGAGCAACGCCGCGUGAGUGAUGACGGCCUUCGGGUUGUAAAGCUCUGUUAAUCGGGACGAAAGGCCUUCUUGCGAAUAGGGAGAAGGAUUGACGGUACCGGAAGAGAAAGCCACGGCUAACUACGUG